rnacentral:rRNA from 1 species
CUACGUGCCAGCAGCCGCGGUAAUACGGAGGGUGCGAGCGUUAAUCGGAAUAACUGGGCGUAAAGGGCACGCAGGCGGUUAUUUAAGUGAGGUGUGAAAGCCCCGGGCUUAACCUGGGAAUUGCAUUUCGGACUGGGUAACUAGAGUACUUUAGGGAGGGGUAGAAUUCCACGUGUAGCGGUGAAAUGCGUAGAGAUGUGGAGGAAUACCGAUGGCGAAGGCAGCCUCCUGGGAUAACACUGACGUUCAUGCUCGAAAGCGUGGGUAGCAAACAGGAUUAGAUACCCUGGUAGUCCACGCCCUAAACGAUGUCAAUUAGCUGUUGGGCAACUUGAUUGCUUAGUAGCGUAGCUAACGCGUGAAAUUGACCGCCUGGGGAGUACGGUCGCAAGAUUAAAACUCAAAGGAAUUGACGGGGACCCGCACAAGCGGUGGAUGAUGUGGAUUAAUUCGAUGCAACGCGAAGAACCUUACCUGGUCUUGACAU